AGUCCAUGGUGUGGGCAUCUCUAUUGCAACUCCUUGUACCUCUCCCAAGUCUCAUAUAAUGAUUCACCAUCCUACUGAUUAAAACUUGUUAUUUCCAUGCAUAGCUU